ACCAGUGUGGUGUAGUGUUUUGAGCACUGGACUAUGAUUCCGGAGAUCAGGGUUUAAAUCCCCACUGAGC